UCCGAUAUGGUGUAGUGGUUAACAUCGUUCGCUCUCAUUGGGAUCUGAUCCAUCAGAACUCAAAUUGAUCCGAACAGCCCCGGGUUCGAUUCCCGGUGUCGGAA